rnacentral:rRNA from 1 species
AUAAUGGAGAGUUUGAUUCUGGCUCAGAACGAACGCUGGCGGCGCGUCUUAAACAUGCAAGUCGAACGAUCUGUAGCAAUACAGGGAGUGGCGGACGGGUGAGGAACACGUAGGAAUCUA